rnacentral:sRNA from 1 species
CGCAAGCCUGACGGAGCAAUACCGCGUGAGGGAGGAAGGCUCUUGGGUCGUAAACCUCUUUUAUCAGGGAAGAACACAAUGACGGUACCUGAUGAAUCAGCAUCGGCUAACUCCGUGCCAGCAGCCGCGGUAAUACGGAGGAUGCAAGCGUUAUCCGGAAUUAUUGGGCGUAAAGCGUCCGCAGGUGGUUUUGAAAGUUUGCUGUCAAAGCGCGAGGCUCAACUUCGUAUCGGCGGUGAAAACUUCAAGACUAGAGCUAGGUAGGGGUCACGGGAAUUCCCAGUGUAGCGGUGAAAUGCGUAGAUAUUGGGAAGAACACCAGCGGCGAAAGCGCGUGACUGGGCCUGAGCUGACACUCAUGGACGAAAGCUAGGGGAGCGAAAGGGAUUAGAUACCCCUGUAGUCCUAGCCGUAAACGAUGACAACUAGGUGUUGCCCGUAUCGACCCGGGCAGUGCCGUAGCCAACGCGUUAAGUUGUCCGCCUGGGGAGUACGCACGCAAGUGUGAAACUCAAAGGAAUUGACGGGGGCCCGCACAAGCGGUGGAGUAUGUGGUUUAAUUCGAUGCAACGCGAAGAACCUUACCAAGGCUUGACAUGUGCAGAAUCCUCUUGAAAGGGAGGAGUGCCUUCGGGAGCUGCAACACAGGUGGUGCAUGGCUGUCGUCAGCUCGUGUCGUGAGAUGUUGGGUUAAGUCCCGCAACGAGCGCAACCCUCGUUUCUAGUUGCCAUCAUUGAGUUGGGCACUUUAGAGAGACUGCCGGUGACAAACCGGAGGAAGGUGGGGAUGACGUCAAGUCAGCAUGCCCCUUACGCCUUGGGCUACACACGUACUACAAUGCUACGGACAAAGAGCCGCAAGUUCGCGAGGACAAGCAAAUCUCAUAAACCGUGGCUCAGUUCAGAUUGCAGGCUGCAACUCGCCUGCAUGAAGGCGGAAUCGCUAGUAAUCGCAGGUCAGCAUACUGCGGUGAAUACGUUCCCGGGCCUUGUACACACCGCCCGUCACACCAUGGGAGUUGGCCACGCCCGAAGUCGUUACUCCAACCGUUCGCGGAGGAGGAUGCCGAAGGCAGGGCUGAUGACUGGGGUGAAGUCGUAACAAGGUAGCCGUACCGGAAGGUGUGGCUGGAUCACCUCCUUUAAGGGAGACCUACCCAUCUAAUCAAUGAACGCGUAUAGCGAGUCGAGAUUAGAUAGGUCAACCCAAGGUCGUUGAGGAUUAAGUGUUGACUUCUAAGCUAUGUAAGAUUGGUUCGGGUUAUGGGCUAUUAGCUCAGGUGGUUAGAGCGCACCCCUGAUAAGGGUGAGGUCCCUGGUUCGAGUCCAGGAUGGCCCACCUUUAGUAGACAAGGGGGUUUAGCUCAGUUGGUAGAGCGCCUGCUUUGCAAGCAGGAUGUCAACGGUUCGAGUCCGUUAACCUCCACUGAAAGCAGAGAGCUUUCUAAUGUAAUAAUCCGAGUCGAUUUCAACUUCAGCAACUCGUCUAAUGUCUAAUAUUUAGAGAGCCUGCUGGACUUGUUCCAGUCAGAACCAUGAAAACUGCAUAGAAACUUGUCAGGUAGAAAGUAGCUGACCUUCAGGAUUGUUUUUUAGUGUUCUUAAGUGAAACUAGAGAGCGAAUUGUGAAGCGU